rnacentral:rRNA from 1 species
CCUACGGGAGGCAGCAGUGAGGAAUAUUGGUCAAUGGACGAGAGUCUGAACCAGCCAAGUAGCGUGAAGGAUGACUGCCCUAUGGGUUGUAAACUUCUUUUAUAAAGGAAUAAAACGAGGCACGUGUGCCUUUUUGCAUGUACUUUAUGAAUAAGGAUCGGCUAACUCCGUGCCAGCAGCCGCGGUAAUACGGAGGAUCCGAGCGUUAGCCGGAUUUAUUGGGUUUAAAGGGAGCGUAGAUGGGUUGUUAAGUCAGUUGUGAAAGUUUGCGGCUCAACCGUAAAAUGGCAAUUGAUACUGGCAGUCGUGAGUACAGUUGAGGUAGGCGGAAUUCGUGGUGUAGCGGUGAAAUGCUUAGAUAUCACGAAGAACCCCGAUUGCGAAGGCAGCUUACUAAACUGUGACUGACAUUGAUGCUCGAAAGUGUGGGUAUCAAACAGGAUUAGAUACCCCAGUAGUC